AUUGAACGCUGGCGGCAGGCCUAACACAUGCAAGUCGAGCGGAUGAGUGGAGCUUGCUCCAUGAUUCAGCGGCGGACGGGUGAGUAAUGCCUAGGAAUCUGCCUGGUAGUGGGGGACAACGUUUCGAAAGGAACGCUAGUACCGCAUACGUCCUACGGGAGAAAGCAGGGGACCUUCGGGCCUUGCGCUAUCAGAUGAGCCUAGGUCGGAUUAGCUAGUAGGUGAGGUAAAGGCUCACCUAGGCGACGAUCCGUAACUGGUCUGAGAGGAGGAUCAGUCACACUGGAACUGAGACACGGUCCAGACUCCUACGGGAGGCAGCAGUGGGGAAUAUUGGACAAUGGGCGAAAGCCUGAUCCAGCCAUGCCGCGUGUGUGAAGAAGGUCUUCGGAUUGUAAAGCACUUUAAGUUGGGAGGAAGGGCAGUAAGUUAAUACCUUGCUGUUUUGACGUUACCAACAGAAUAAGCACCGGCUAACUUCGUGCCAGCCGCCGCAGUAA
rnacentral:rRNA from 1 species